rnacentral:rRNA from 1 species
UACGUAGGGGGCAAGCGUUGUCCGGAAUUACUGGGCGUAAAGCGCACGUAGGCGGCUUUCUAAGUCAGGGGUGAAAUCCCGGGGCUCAACCCCGGAACUGCCCUUGAAACUGGAUGGCUAGAAUCCUGGAGAGGCGAGUGGAAUUCCGAGUGUAGAGGUGAAAUUCGUAGAUAUUCGGAAGAACACCAGUGGCGAAGGCGACUCGCUGGACAGGUAUUGACGCUGAGGUGCGAAAGCGUGGGGAGCAAACAGG